ACUCCUACGGGAUGCAGCAGUGGGGAAUAUUGCACAAUGGGCGCAAGCCUGAUGCAGCCAUGCCGCGUGUAUGAAGAAGGCCUUCGGGUUGUAAAGUACUUUCAGCAGUGAGGAAGGUGGGUAUGUUAAUAGCAUAUUCAUUUGACGUUAGCUGCAGAAGAAGCACCGGCUAACUCCGUGCCAGCAGCCGCGGUAAUACGGAGGGGUGCGAGCGUUAAUCGGAAUUAACUGGCGUAAAGCGCAUGCAGGUGGUUUGUUAAGUCAGAUGUGAAAGCCCGGGGCUCAACCUCGGAAUUGCAUUUGAAACUGGCAAACUAGAGUACUGUAGAGGGGGUAGAAGUUUCAGGUGUAGCGGUGAAAUGCGUAGAGAUCUGAAGGAAUACCGGUGGCGAAGGCGGCCCCCUGGACAGAUACUGACACUCAGAUGCGAAAGCGUGGGGAGCAAACAGGAUAGAUA
rnacentral:rRNA from 1 species